GUCUGUGCCCAUAUCACCUUCAUCAUGCCUGUUCUCAUUUAGUCUUAGAAACUAAUUAGGCUCAGGCUAGGUUAACACCUAAUUGGGAGAUUAUCUAGGAAUUCCAUGUGCUGUACACU
rnacentral:rRNA from 1 species